AACCCAAUAAAACUGAUUCCCGUUCCACAGGACAAAGUACUGGUAAUGCCAAUACAUCAGCUUGUAUUUGAAUAAAAAGUGGGUUUUGACUAAGUCCACCGCAAACUAAUAUGGUCUCGAUAUUAUGACCAGCAGCCGUCAAGAUAAGGAUAAUCCAGAUAUCUAUGAAAUAAUGUCAGUAAUAGUAUAAAGCUGUAUCCAUCAAGGCAUGCAAAGAUAACAAAAAUGCAAUGUAUGUGUCAAUACCAUUCCUUUCAGAGUUGGAUCAGCAAGAGGCGAACGAUUACCAUGAAAAUCUGGCCACACAUGUAUAUCUUUUGUCAAAUCCCGUAAAUUAAGUUGCUCAAAGAAGUCCUCGUUCCAUUCGUUCUUACCAUUGGGAUUGGCACUAUAGUUCCACUUGCACACUAACGAACAUAACGAUCUAAUAGAAUAAAAAUAAGAGAAUUAUUCAAUUAUUUCAACAGCUCUGAUUAAAGAAUUUAGACAAAAAUUUAUACCGGGAUU